ACACUCCUGCGGGAGGCAGCAGUGGGGAAUUUUGGACAAUGGGCGAAAGCCUGAUCCAGCAAUGCCGCGUGUGUGAAGAAGGCCUUCGGGUUGUAAAGCACUUUUGUCCGGAAAGAAAUCCUUGGCUCUAAUACAGUCGAGGGAUGACGGUACCGGAAGAAUAAGCACCGGCUAACUACGUGCCAGCAGCCGCGGUAAUACGUAGGGUGCGAGCGUUAAUCGGAAUUACUGGGCGUAAAGCGUGCGCAGGCGGUUUGCUAAGACCGAUGUGAAAUCCCCGGGCUCAACCUGGGAACUGCAUUGGUGACUGGCAGGCUAGAGUAUGGCAGAGGGGGGUAGAAUUCCACGUGUAGCAGUGAAAUGCGUAGAGAUGUGGAGGAAUACCGAUGGCGAAGGCAGCCCCCUGGGCCAAUACUGACGCUCAUGCACGAAAGCGUGGGGAGCAAACAGGAUUAGAAACCCUGGUAGUCCCAU
rnacentral:rRNA from 1 species